GACAGAGACAGCUUCUUGGAACUGGGAACCUCGAUUCUACAACUAAAGGAAGUGAAAAAUGCCAACAAUCCUGUGAUCUUCGGAGGGCACCCAGGACUUCAGAUGAGACACCAUGAUUGCUGCCUUGGAAGACCCUGCCAGAAGAAUCGGUUAAGGAGAUCUGUCCAAUGAUGACAAUGAGGUGUUGAAUUCUUCAGCUAUUAUUGUAUUGAGGUAUUGAGUAUGAUCCUGUUCAAGUUUUGCUGGAUUAUUCCUCCAAAGAAAUGUACCUAUGUCCAGAUAUUGAGGCUCAUAGGCAGAAGGGACUUGCCCUGACUUGGAUUAGACUUUAGACUGUGGACUGUGGAAUUAAUGCUGAAAUAAAAUUGUACAGUGCAGUUACCAGUAACCACCCCACCACACAGAUGCUGAGUUAUUCAUAUGUUCAUUUUGUUCUGUGGCCCAGCCACA
rnacentral:lncRNA from 10 species